UACAGAGGUCUCAAGCGUUGUUCGGAUUCAUUGGGCGUAAAGGGUGCGUAGGCGGCGCGGUAAGUCGGGUGUGAAAUUUCGAGGCUUAACCUCGAAACUGCAUUCGAUACUGCCGUGCUAGAGGACUGGAGAGGAGACUGGAAUUUACGGUGUAGCGGUGAAAUGCGUAGAUAUCGUAAGGAAGACCAGUGGCGAAGGCGGGUCUCUGGACAGUUCCUGACGCUGAGGAGCGAAAGCCAGGGGAGCAAACGGG
rnacentral:rRNA from 1 species